CGGUGAAUACGUUCCCGGACCUUGCACACACCGCCCGUCAAGCCAUGGAAGCCGGGUGUACCUAAAGUCGGUAACCGCAAGGAGCCGCCUAGAGUAAAACUGGUAACUGGGGCU
rnacentral:rRNA from 1 species